rnacentral:rRNA from 1 species
AGAGUUUGAUCCUGGCUCAGGACAACGGCUGGCGGCGUGCCUAACACAUGCAAGUCGAGCGGAGUAAAUACUAUACGGUAUUUACUUAGCGGCGACGGGUGAGUAACACGUGGACAAUCUACCCUAUAGACCGGGGAUAACACACCGAAAAGGGGUGCUAAUACCGGAUAAUGUCACGAGGUGGCAUCAUCUUGUGAAGAAAGGAGAAAUCCGCUAAAGGAAGAGUCCGCGGCCCAUUAGCUAGUUGGUGAGGUAAAGGCCCACCAAGGCAACGAUGGGUAGCCGGCCUGAGAGGGUGAACGGCCACACUGGAACUGAGAGACGGUCCAGACUCCUACGGGAGGCAGCAGUGGGGAAUAUUGCGCAAUGGGGGGAACCCUGACGCAGCAACGCCGCGUGAGCGAAGAAGGCCUUCGGGUCGUAAAGCUCAAUAGUAUGGGAAGAAAGAAUGACGGUACCAUACGAAAGCCCCGGCUAACUACGUG